AGCGAACGUUAGCGGCGCGCCUAACACAUGCAAGUCGCACGAGAAACGGAGCAAUCCGCGGUACAGUGGCGCACGGGUGAGUAACACGUGGAUGACCUUCCCUGGAGUGGUGGAUAACCUGCCGAAAGGCGGGCUAAUACAGCAUGGGACCACGACGCUUUGGCGAUGUGGUGAAAGCGGGCCUCUAUAUAUAAGCUCGCGCUCCGGGACGGGUCCGCGUCCCAUCAGCUAGUUGGUGAGGUAACGGCUCACCAAGGCAACGACGGGUAGCUGGUCUGAGAGGAUGGCCAGCCACACUGGAACUGAGACACGGUCCAGACUCCUACGGGAGGCAGCAGUGGGGAAUCUUGCGCAAUGGGCGAAAGCCUGACGCAGCCACGCCGCGUGAGCGAUGAAGGCCUCGGUCGUAAGCUCUGUGGGAGGAGACGAAGAAAGACCUGUGAGAGCAGGCCUUGACGGUAGUCUCC
rnacentral:rRNA from 1 species